AGCUGCAUCAAAAAUAUAAAGAACUAACGUGAAAUCCCUUCGUCGUACAGUAAGGAAUUUUCUUCUCUUCGAGAGAUGCAGAAGAUAUUCAAAGCAGAAAACUGCUCUUGUUCACUUGAGGCACGAUUGUCUUUAGACAGACUUACACACAUCUUCAUGUGAUUAGUAUAGCUGUGUCUUAAGACUAUCAUGUCUUAAGUGAGUGAGAGCUUGCUUGCCGAGGGAAGUGUUGUUUCAUGUUGAUUUUUAUAUAUUUUUGCAGCGAACAAAGAUUUAAACGUUUUUUUUUCCAGUGUAAUUUGUGGGCGAUUUGUAUAAUAUCAUCGUGCAUCCUUCUUCGUGGGAUGAA